GAUGAAGAACGCAGCGAAAUGCGAUACGUAGUGUGAAUUGCAGAAUUCAGUGAAUCAUCGAAUCUUUGAACGCACAUUGCGCCCUUUGGUAUUCCAAAGGGCAUGCCUGUUCGAGCGUCAUUUGUACCCUCAAGCUUUGCUUGGUGUUGGGCGUUUUGUCUUUGGUUGCCAAAGACUCGCCUUAAAACGAUUGGCAGCCGGCCUACUGGUUUCGCAGCGCAGCACAUUUUUGCGCUUGCAAUCAGCAAAAGAGGACGGCACUCCAUCAAGACUCUUUAUCACUUUUGACCUCGGAUCAGGUAGGGAUACCCGCUGAACUUAAGCAUAUCAAUAAGCGGAGGA
rnacentral:rRNA from 1 species